rnacentral:lncRNA from 1 species
CUUGUCUUCUCUUCCCUAGAGACCUCAACUCCCACAUGUGUCCUGCAAGCCUUAUCUCUCACCACAUGAGACGAGAGGAAUUAACUGAAAUCAACAAUCUGUCUAUUGUUUGUGUAUAAUUAAGAGGUGAUGGGGGGCUGGAGAGAUGGCUCAGUGGGUAAGAGCACUGACUGCUCUUCUGAAGGUCCGGUGUUCAAAUCCCAGCAAUCACAUGGUGGCUCACAACCAUCUGUAAAUGAGAUCUGACUCCCUCUUCUGGUGCAUCUGAAGACAGCUACAGUGUACUUAGAUAUGAAAGAGAUCUGUUUUCCAUAGGUUCAUAUAUUGAAUUCUUGGACCUCACACUUCCCUGCUAUGACAGACUCUUAGAUCUCUGGAAUCAUAAGGGUCUUGCUAUGUACCAGCUGUCCCCAACACAAGGCUGACCUGAUGUCCCCUGGUCUUAUGGAAGUCGAGAGGUGCCAUCACCAGUUGCUGAGGACAUGAAGAGAGUGGCAUGUGUGUUUCUAGUAGCUUGUUCACAGGUCUAUGGAACCCAGGAGAGCAGUACUAAGUUUGGAGAAAGAAGAUGUGCUCCAAUGGAAGGUGGCUUACCUAAAACUAGGUACAUUCAGACUGGAUGAAGCUGAUGCAGAAAGAAGCUCAACAGUCAGAGGGUUGGAAAUUGGACAUAGGGCAUUGCAUAUGUCAAACAAAUGUUGUACUGCUGAGCUGGACUCUCACCCCUCUUCUCACCCCGGUAGGCCGGAUACUCCUCCCUCUCCCCGUCUCUCUCUCUAUAUAUAUAUACACACACAUAUAUGUAGAUAGAUAGAUACAGAUACACACACACACCAGACUUUAACUAUCCACCUAUUGUUGGGCACAAUGAUGAUCCUAAAACUUGUAUACUGAGACUA